CAAUAGCGUAUAUUAAAGUUGUUGCAGUUAAAAAGCUCGUAGUUGGAUUUCUGAUCGAGACAUCAGGUCGGGUCCGAGAGGAUCAUGUGCUUUGAUUUUGUUUUGAUCAUCCUUGGGGAGAGCAUUUCUGGCAUUCAGUUGUCGGGAUUGGGAUCCUCAUCGUUUACUGUGAAAAAAUUAGAGUGUUCAAAGCAGGCCUCGGCCUCUGAAUACAUUAGCAUGGAAUAAUAAGAUAGGACUUUGGUGGUCUAUUUUGUUGGUUUGCACGCCAAAGUAAUGAUUAAUAGGGAUAGUUGGGGGUAUUCGUAUUCAAUUGUCAGAGGUGAAAUUCUUGGAUUUAUGGAAGACGAACUACUGCGAAAGCAUUUACCAAGGAUGUUUUCAUUAA
rnacentral:rRNA from 1 species